rnacentral:rRNA from 1 species
UACAGAGGUCCCAAGCGUUGUUCGGAUUUACUGGGCGUAAAGGGUGCGUAGGAGGUUUGGAAAGUCAGAUGUGAAAGCUCACCGCUUAACGGUGAAACUGCAUUUGAAACUCCCAAACUCGAGGAUUAGAGAGGAAAGCGGAAUUCUUGGUGUAGCGGUGAAAUGCGUAGAUAUCAAGAGGAACGCCAAUGGCGAAAGCAGCUUUCUGGAAAAUUCCUGACUCUGAGGCACGAAGGCUAGGGUAGCAAAC